AAAGAUGCGCUAAUACCGCAUAAUCUCUAAGGAGAAAAGCAGGGGAUCGCAAGACCUUGCGCUUUUGGAGCGGCCGAUGUCUGAUUAGCUAGUUGGUGAGGUAAAGGCUUACCAAGGCUUCGAUCAGUAGCUGGUCUGAGAGGACGACCAGCCACACUGGGACUGAGACACGGCCCAGACUCCUACGGGAGGCAGCAGUGGGGAAUUUUGGACAAUGGGGGCAACCCUGAUCCAGCCAUGCCGCGUGAGUGAAGAAGGCCUUCGGGUUGUAAAGCUCUUUCAGCCGGAACGAAAAGGUUACGGUUAAUACCCGUGACUAAUGACGGUACCGGAAGAAGAAGCACCGGCUAACUACGUGCCAGCAGCCGCGGUAAUACGUAGGGUGCGAGCGUUAAUCGGAAUUACUGGGCGUAAAGCGUGCGCAGGCGGUUUUGUAAGUCAGAUGUGAAAUCCCCGGGCUUAACCUGGGAACUGCGUUUGAAACUACAAGGCUAGAGUGUGGCAGAGGGGGGUGGAAUUCCACGUGUAGCAGUGAAAUGCGUAGAGAUGUGGAGGAACACCGAUGGCGAAGGCAGCCCCCUGGGUUAACACUGACGCUCAGGCACGAAAGCGUGCGGAGCAAACAGGAUUAGAUACCCUGGUAGUCCACGCCCUAAACGAUGUCAACUAGUUGUCGGGUCUUAACGGGCUUGGUAACGCAGCUAACGCGUGAAGUUGACCGCCUGGGGAGUACGGUCGCAAGAUUAAAACUCAAAGGAAUUGACGGGGACCCGCACAAGCGGUGGAUUAUGUGGAUUAAUUCGAUGCAACGCGAAAAACCUUACCUACCCUUGACAUGUACCGAAGCCCGCCGAGAGUUGGGCGUGCC
rnacentral:rRNA from 1 species